CUGCUGCUGCUGCUCUCGUGUCCGUCCUCGUGCUUCUUCUUCUUCUCCUUCUUUUUCUUCUUCUCUUCACCGUGGGCGGCGCCCUCGCCGCCGCCGACACCGGGGAUCUUCUGCUUGAUCUUGUCCACCAAGCCCUCCUUGUGUUCGCCCUCCUUGUGUUCCCCGCCGUGAUGCUGCUGCUGAUGGUGAACAUCAGUAGUGCCGACACCGGGGAUCUGCUGCUUGAUCUUGUCCACCAAGCCCUCCUUGUGUUCGCCGCCGUGAUACUGCUGCUGAUGGUGGACAUCAGUAGUGUGGUGGUCCCCACUAUGGUGCUCUCCCUUGUGCUUGUCCUCCUCCUUUUGCCCUCCUCCCAUGUGAAGGGCUUCUCCGAUCUUGUGAAUAACUCCUGACAUUUUCCCUUAAAAUGACUCUGUUCCUCUUCUUUUCUUUUCAAUGAAAAAUAGUUGUUUGCGAUCUUCUUCUGGUUGUUGUUGUUCUUGUUGGGUGAUCUUGGCUUGGUAUUUAUAGGCUCCAAAAGGAGGGACUAGAAUUAGGAUUAGAUUAUAGAUUAUUUUAAUACAUUUUAUGGCAAAUUCUGAUUUGGAAAGAUAAGAUUAUCCUUUUGGUUUUCCUUAUUUACCCUUUUGCACCCAUUACGUGUACGCGUCUUCGUGGGCUUUUUGGGUAUUUCAAUUAUAUCGCCAAUGCUAAAUCGACACGUUGCAUAUCAGCCGCGGUACUGCCGUAUGUAGUUGUCCAGAAAUCGAGUCGAUUCUCGAUCGUACAAUAAUUAAAUAAUAUUUCAUACGAAAUGAGUUUAGAUAUAUUUUGAAAAUUUAUUUUUAAUUUAAUUAUACGUGUUAUAUAUUUGUUAAUCGAAUAGAGGUCCCACGUAACAGAGUGUUUCUCUAAUCUUUCAUUGCUUUUAAUUAAUUUUACCCAAAUAAAAAAAAAAAGGAAAAUUUAGAGAGAGAGAGAGAGAUAGCGAAUUAGAAGUUGAUUGUAAUAUCGACACCUGUCAGACAAUCAAAUAUCGUUAGUUAAAAAUCAGUUGUCCAUAGUCAUGGUCAUAGAUGGCGAAAUUGAUACUUAUUUUAAAAAACAAAACAAAACAAAACGAAACGAAACUAAACUAACAGAUGUUGAAAUGCAGUUCCGUGUUAACAGUCUGUGAUGAAUCUUUAUCUUUGAGUAUACCAUUCAAGAAAUUAUCAUUCAAAAAUUUAUUUAAAGCAGCAGCAAAUCACCUUCUAAUUCCUGAAUCAAAUUAAUUCGAUUUUUUUCGAGUCGAUCAAUUCAUUAGAGAAUUAACGGGCUAAGUUAAAGUUUUGUUAGUUAUUUUUUUUUAUAUUCCUUUAGAUGAUAUGAUUGUCAUUGUCUUUCUUUCUCUGGGCAACAAUAAAUACAAGAUGUGCAAAAGCGUAGUGGAACAUAAUUCGAUUAUGGGUAAAGGGAUCAGUCCGCAUAAUGAGGAUAAAGUUUUUCUCUUUAAAAAAAUUUAACCCAAAGAAAAGGUCGUAGUUUGUAAUAGCCGACACGCAGAUAGAUCACAAAGCAUGGCGGUCCUGAUGGCAAUAACUAACUGAUAUCUUCUGCGAUGAGAGGAGAUCACGUGGUUCUGACACGUAUCGCCCCAUCAACUGAUGUUGUGGCUGCAAUCGCGGCCCAGUCUUUAGAGAGAAGAAAGAUCUGUUAUAACGGGACCUACUUUAGCAUCUAUUUACGACAAAGCCCCUAUUUACUCUACUUAGUAGUAAUAAUAGCAAGUGUCGGGCUUGGAUUCCGUGUUGCUUUAAAUAAAUAUCCGCGUAAAAAGAAAAUGCUUCUUUAAUCCCUUCCUUGUAAUUUUUCGACACGUGGAUGGUUGAAAUUAGCGUGCCGACAUCUUAGGAAUUUUAUCUUGGAGACGGGAACACUGCAGUAGGCAAUGCCAUUUUCUUCGGAUGGUGUGUGGUGACAACGCCUUGGAUUUUGACGUGCAAAGAAUUUAAAUUGAAAAAGAAAAAAAGAAAUUACCAGAAUAAGCAUAGAAGAGAUAUUUUUCUUUUUGUCCUUUUUGGAAUGGAAAAAGAGAUCAAGAGAUUGUUCCAGUAAGUAUUACACAUGUCACAGGCUUAUUCAUGCCCCAUUAUGGCAACUUUUAUGCCUCGCGGUGCCCUCGGUUCCAGCAUAAUAGCUAAGACUUCAAUUUUUCUAACAUAUUUUUGUUACAAAUAUGAACGGAGUAAAUGUAUAACUUUAAUCCUUUGAAUAAAGAAAUGGCGGUUCUCCUGCUCGUUAAUCUCACUUGAAUCCCACCCAGGCAAAAUUUCUUUAUUUUAUUUAACAACAAUUUAAAGAAAGAAACUUUUGCCAGGUUGAAUUUCAAGUGAGAUUCAUUCGUGGGAGAAGUGCCAUUUCUUUAUUCAAAAGAUUAUGGUAAUUACAACUUUCAAUUUCGACAUAAAUUAAAAUUAUAGGCUAUACAAUAAAAUUGCCCUAAAUUAGUCCUAAUCAAUUCAGAUUAUAAAUUUAGGUAUAUUUAUUAUUUUAAUAUAUUAAUGUUCUAUAUAUAUAUAUAUAUAUAUAUAUAUAUAUAUAUGUGUGUGUGUGUGUAUUCAAUAUUUUACAAAAUAUUUGCUAUGGAUAAGGAGACAUGGUCCCACGUCCCACCGUCCCAAUGCAUAUUUUGUAUGUUUCCAUCUUUUCUGAAAUUUUAAUAAAUAAAGUUUUUUGACCACUUGGCCAAAGAACCUUACCCUUACACAACUUUGUGGUUGGAGUCCUGUGAUACAUGUAAGAACUUAUUUUUUUUCUUAAUUAUAAUAUUUUAGAAUAUAAUUAAGUGAAGUAGGUUUUUUUUUUAAAUAUGAGUAAAAUAGAUAUUUUUUAAAUAUUAAAGAGAGUAAAAUUUGAAUAAUAAUAUAUUAAAAUUAAUACAAACUAAUUUUAAUAAUUAUUUAAUUAUAAAUAUCAAUUAUAACAUCAUAUAAUAUCAAUUAUAAUAUCGUACAUCUCAAUUAAUUCAAUAAUAAUAAUAAUAAAUGUUUUUUGGGAUAAGUAAACAGUCGCAUGGCGACAAUAGUGGAUCUGGAUUAGAGUGAAGUGGUCCCAAGAGGCUGAGGCUGUGGCUGUGGAGUUCUAAAAGUCAAAAGCUCCACGCACUUUGUUUCAGUACCAUACACACUGAAAAAAUUUGCAUUUGCAAUGACGAAAACUUUUCACGAAAUCAAAACACCUCUAAACUAUUUUGUUAUCGAUAUUUAAUGGAGGGGUUUCCUACCUUUUUAACACUCGAUUCACGCCUUGACGCAUCUCACAGAAAACCUCAUGAUCCCAUUAAUCUUGCGUAACAUAUCUCAAAGCCAAUGCAAGUGAUCUUGUUGCCUACUUCCCUUUGACGAUUCAAAAUUGUUGAAAAUAAUUCUUUUUUUUUUUAACCUCAAGGAAGUGACAAAAUAUAAAAGAAUAUUUUCUACACAUUAAACAUCUAGAUUUUUUUUUCUUUUCUUUUUAGAGUACUUGCACAAACCGUUUCCAAGAGAGACCUUUUUUUUUUUUUUUUUUUUUCCGGGCUUGGUUACUAAUUUGGUGUGAAUACUCUAUGGUGAAAAAGGAAUCACAAAGCUGUAAUCAAUUUUUUUGCAUCAUUUAGUUGUAACUUGAACAUUGGGAGGUUUAUAAAGAAUUAAAUUAAUUAUAAUGCCUCUACUAGGAAAAGUUCAGAGUAGCCCUUCACAACUUUUUAAAGGCUUAAUAAUUUUCGCUUUCUUCCUCUCAUAACAUAACAAAAAAUUAAGAGCUUUACUCGUACACGUCCUAUGGCUAUAUAGUAUUGGGUUCUCUACUUCAAUCGGCUAUCUCAAACCGAAGGUUAUUUGGACACACCAGCAGUCACGUUUGGAAACUCUCAAAUGCUUGGAUUGUAAUUCUUGUGGAUGAGAUCAUCUAAAUCUUGGGCCCAAGCCGGACAAUGGGUGGACAAAGAACCCUAAAAUACAGUAAAGCUUCUAACACCCCACUAAAACUCUUAAGAAAUCCUACCUUUUAUUUUUAUAUCUCUUUCUUUUAGAAAUUAUAGAGAAGACAUAGCAUUUUAAUUAUUUUCCCUGCCAUUGAAAAUAAAUUCUGUAAACAUAUUUUUUCAUAAUAAAAUUAUUGUUAUUAGAUAAUUUAUUUCUUCAUUGUUUCAAAAUUAUUAUAAUUUUAUCAACAAAAUUAGUUAUGUCAUAUAUUAGGAUUAAAAUUAAUUAGGAUCCAUAACUUGUAAAGACAUUUUAGUUUAAUUGAAUUCAUAUUUGUCAUUUUAUGUAAUUUUCAAUAAAAAUACGACUAUGAGUGCAAAAGUGGGAUGACAUAAUAUUAAAAGAGUGUGAAAUAAUCGGUAAUUGAAAUGGAUUGAAAUCAUAAUAGAGUAUGAAAAUCAGAAUAAAUUGUUUACUUUAGUUGUAGAAAUCAAAAUUAAAAUAAACCAUAUUAUCAUUGAUGUAUAUAUGUUUUCUUGUAAUCGAAAUGAAUUCUUAUAAGUUACUAUAAGACCCUUAUGGUGUGUUUACUAAUCAGAAAUCAGAAUGGAGUGGAAUUUGAAUAUAGAAUGGUAGGGGUAUUCGCGGAUCGGAUUUUACGGAUUGGACAUUAAUUCAUAUCCGAUCCAUAAUUUUACGGAUUAUAAAUUCUCAACACAAUCCAAAUCCAAUCUAUAUGUUUGCAGAUCGGAUGCGGAUUUGACUCAAUUCAUAUCCAAUCCACUAUUUGACGGAUUGAUUUUGGAAUUAAAAAUUUUUAAUUUUGUCCAAUCUAUGAGGUAAUUAAAUUUAAAAAUCUAAUAUAAAAAUAAUUUAUUAAAUAAAAAAUUAACGUAAAAAUAAUUUUACUACCAAUUAAAUUCAAAAUUGAACAAGAUUUAAAUAAAUUAAUUAUUUAAAUAAAACUAGAAUAAUUUAUUUAAAAUUUUUAAAUAUAACAUAUCGAAAAAAAAUUCAUUUGUUUAGAUUAAUAUAUGAAAAUUAACUAAAAUUAUGAAUUUAAAUGUUGAAAUUUGAGAGCUUGGAUGUAACAGGAAGAAAUUAAGAAACUUGAAGAACUUGAAAAGAAAGUAACAAAUUAAGCUUAACUACCUCUAAUGGUGAAGUGAAACAGUGAUGGUUUGUGCGUGCAAUGGGGUACAAAUUUGGCAUUAUAUGCCAAAAUAUUUUGUUUGGCUUUAGAAUUUUUAAUGUUUAGGAAGCUAUAUUUGUUUAUUUAAUUACUCAAAUAUUUAAUUAUUUUUUAUUUUAUGUUAUUAUUGAAUAAGAUAUAAUAUUGUGUUAAUUUAGCUAUACUUUAAUUAAUUAAUUAAUUUAUUAGUAAGUAGCAUUGCUACAUUUAUAAGUUUUAUUUUUUAUUAAAUAAAUACUUUUUUUUUUCAGAUUCACGAAUUUUUACGGAUUUACAGAAAUAAAUCCAUAUCUAAUCCAUCGACUGUGGUUUUUUAAAUUUUCAUUCCAAUCCGAUCUACCAAUCCACAAAUUAUAUUUUUACGGAUCGGACGAAUUGAGCGGAUCAAAUUGGGUUCUGAACACCCCUAGAGAAUGAGAAUCAAAAUAAAUUAUUUACUUUAGUUGUGUGAAUCGGAAUUGGAAUAAAUUGUACUGUCAUUGAUGUGUUUACUUUAUCUUGGAAUCAGAAUGAAUAAUUUCAAAUUACUAAACUGACCUUAAUUUUUUAUUGUAAUAAUAAUAGUAGUAGUAGUAGUAAUAGUAGUAAUUUUCUAUUAUUAUUAUUAUUUUCUCUCUCUUUUGUUUUUAUUUUUUUAUUUUUCUCUUCUUCUUCUCUUCCUCUUUUUUUAUUUUUCUCUAAUUCAUCGAUACUUCUUCUUCUUCUUUUUUCUUUCGUUUUUAUUUUUAAUUUUUCCCUUCUUUAUCGUUCCUUCUUCUCCGUCCAUUCUCUAUCUUCAAACUCUUUUUACUUUUUCUCUUAUUCUUCAUUACUUCUUCUCCCUUUUUUUUUUUUUUCUCUUCUUUAUUAAUUCUUCUUCUUCUGCGUCUAUUCUUCAUCUUCAAAUUAUCAAGUGAAAAAUACCCACGGUGCCUUACAAGAAGAAUUGGUUUUGUUUGCUUCAAUUAUUUUUUGUAUUUUGUACUUUUGAUUGUUUCAAAAGAGGAUAAACUUGUAAUAAUGCAAUUUAAGUAGGGAUGUUUUAGACAAUUUUGGGUAUGAGAGUCUAAUUCCCAACCCCCCACUCCCUCGUAGCAGACUCCCAUUCUUCAUUCCUAACUUGGUGUUGGACCUACUAAAAUAAAUCCCAUUCCCCUUCUUAUUUCAAGAAGCAAACACGAUUUUGAUUUCAAUUCCCCAAUCCGAAAGUAAACGCACAAAAAUUGUACCCAUAUGAGAUUGCUUAUCCUCGAGUUUUUAGAUUGAAAAAAAAAAAGGAAAAAAGAAUGGCCCCAUUAGGAAGGGAUUUUAAGUGUUAGAUAAAGCCGGUGUUAACCAUUAGAAGGUCUCCGACCUUCAACUGUAAUAUAUUAAACCCAGAUAAAUUUACAUAUAAAUCACACAAACCAACAUGCCAAUCAAAUAAAUUACAUCAACUAACAACAAUUGACACAUUAAUUUUCAUAAUACAGAGGAUGCAGAAAAUUAAAAUGUUUUAUCUUUUCUCCUUAUUUGUGAAUUGGAAAAUGAAAAUGUUAAACAUACAGAAGAGUGAAACAGGAUGGAUAUAUAUACACACACACACACACACAGCUUUGGAGUUCAAUGUCAUCGUAUUGCUCCAAGAAGAUUGGCGCCAUCAAGCUUUGCACCUUCCAGAUGCUGUUUAAUCAUCACCAUAACACCUUCAGUAGACAUUAAUACAUAAUAGAAACACAAAAUUCACAUGAUCUGAAUGUCUGGUCUAUUUUACUUACCGUAUCUCGAAGAUUUACGUGCCGUAAAUAAGCUCUUUGAAGGUUGGCACCCUUUAAAUUGGCAUUACGUAGCUUUGCACCCUGCCGCAUAAAUGUUCGAAGUUUCAACAAAUUAAAGUCUCCUGAGAAAUACAUGUCACGAAAAAGUAGGGCUGAAACUUGCAUCUAAUGUACAAGAUUCAAUCAGGGGUGCUUGUCCCACAGUGAAAGUGUAUGGGGGAAAGUGCACUUUCACAAACCAAAGGGGCAAGAUGUGAUUAUCACACGAUUACAAAAGGACUGUAGUCAAGAGAGAGAACUGAACAUGCAGCUUGUAUUGAGGCCAUGAAAAUUGAUGAAAAGCAGUAACAAGCAACCAUUUUGAAAACACUUCAUAUGGUCGAAUCAAUAAAUCAAAGCUAAAAUGAUGUUGACGAUCGAUAGCUUUUAGGUGAUAAGAGUCUUGGCACUACAGUUAAAAUUAUUAUCUAGGAGUGCACACAUUAAUAAAAAAAAACACAACCAAUAAGCAUGCACUCUUAAUCAGCAUAUAAAUUAACAAGUUAGUUGCACCUUAUGUUGUUCCACAAACAGAUUGCUCGAACAAUUCACAAUCUUACCUUCAAAUUAGCUCCUUCCAAAUUAGCUCCCUCUAGGUUGGCAUUAGUAAGAUCAGCAGUCUGAAAAGUCAAGAGGACAAACAGAUUGCAAUUUGAUUAAAAUCUCAAAGUAGCAACAUUCUGCAUGAAAGAAGAGCAGCACAAUUGGCAACAUACAUUUUAGAUUAAGAGGAUGGGAUAAAAGCAAAAUUACAAGGACAUGAAGCAAAUGAGCCAUGUUUAGUAUGGCAAUUUUGACCCAAUAAUUGUGGCAGGUCUUGGAGAUAACAUAGGCAUACACAUAAGGCAGAAGCAAAUACUGUCGCAAACUCCUAGCUAACUACAAAUGUUCCAUAUAGAAAAAAACACCUGCAAAAGUAAGGGAAAAAGCAACAGAUAAAGAACUCAAGAUGCUAGACCUGUAAGUGUGCAGAUCGCAGGUCUGCUCCACAGAAGCUGCAGUCUAUCAAGCAAGCAUCUGCAAUGAUUUAAGAUAAAUUUGAAUCCAAAUGACAUUUUACCGCAAGUAGUUCCAGCCAUUUUGGGAACAAACAAGAAAUGCUAUUUUGUAUUCAUUGUAAUUCCUUAAGCUAAAUAACAAUCAUGUGCUAUCUUAACCAAGGUACAGUUGCAAAUUCUGAAAUUGUGAUGCCAUAGGUUGUUCUUAAUCUUUUUGAACUGAAUAUUGAAAAAAUAUUCCUUCAAUCAUAAAUGUUAAAUAAUUAAAAGAACUGUGAGGGGGGGGGGGGGGGAAUGAAUAAGCGGAUGCAUACAGAAAAUUAUGGAAAAUCUGUUAUGGAAAUAAUAUGAAAAUGGGUAUGCAUAACUACAUACUGAAUCUUGACUAAUUUCAAUUUAAUUCAGAUAAGAAAUUCCAGUAUGGGAAUUGCCUUGUAAAUUUGCACUCUGAAGAUUUGCACCAGCUAGUAAAGCUCCACGAAGGUUUGCCCCAGCAAAUUCACAUCUUCCCUAGGCAAGAUAAAACCCUUAAAAGGCAAUUUUGAAAAAUACAUAUAAUUGGGAGAAUAUCCAGUAUUGCUUUGACUCUCUUACUCACGCAAAGUUGCAUUGUGAAAAAUGGAACCCUCAGCAUCCACAUCCUGUAUCAAGAACAGACAGAUUCAGUAUGAUUAAUAUAACUGGUUGCUGGAAGACAGGACAAAAUCGCAUCUUGUCACUGUCAACUUGCAUGUUAAGAAUUAAACACGAAAACUGCAUGCUGUCCAAUUAUAAGAAACCUAUAAAAUUCAAAUCAACAUCAAUACUGGCUUAAGGAAGAUAUAAAAAUAAAAAUUAUACCAACCCGAAAUUUCGCAGAUUGAAGAUUUGCACGUGAGAAGAAAACAUUUCUAAGACACGCAUAGCUGAAGUCCACAAGUGAAAGAUCCUGGCCAUUUUAAUAAGAUAGCAUCAGAGGAAACAAUAUCUAAUGAAUAUAUAAUGUUCUUUCUUGCUUAUCUGAGAAUACUAAUGAGAUUAUCAAAAAAACUCUAAGCUACUGCUAAGAAGUCUUGUGUUACAUGAGUAUGAAUUGAGGAGGUAAAGAAGACCCUUCUCCAAUAAGUUACCAUAGAAGCCACAUAAAACCCUAAAGCAGUUACAAACUUACAAUGACCAGAAUAAACCACCCCAACUAUCUAUUGGCAAGUAAAAUCACUUCUCUGGAUUUCUGAAAACUAGCAAAACAAAUGCAUAAAUUGGCAAAUUCGAUGAUUUCCUCUGAAAACCAAAUUAUAGCAGACAUAAAACUUGGAAGUAUUCAUAGAAUAAAAAUCUUUCAAGCACCUCAAUUCAGUAAUUAUUACCAGCUUAGAAAGAUCAAGGCCAGAAAGAUUAAGUCCUCGAAAUCUGACUUUUUCAGACUGUAUACACUUGAUGAUAUCAAUGCGUGUUAGCUCAGUAUCUAACUCAUUAUCUUCCUUUCUCUUAUUUAUGACAGCAUGGAUUCUCUCAAUUAGUCCCUGAAAUGAAACACAUUAGAUGCAAACUAUUAUUUGAAAAAAGAAAUACAUUUUAUCCACUAACACACAUGGAUUUCAACAGCAAUCAUACAAUAAUUGAGGAAGGACGGUCAUAUCAGACUCAUCUGCCAAGAUUCAAUAAGCACAUCAAACUUGUUUACAUGUAAUUUCCACAUUCCACGUGAAUUUAUAAGGUCUGCCUAAGCAAACCAAAGAAGGCUACACUCAGUACUGUGUGUAUACUGCCUUACCUUUGCUGUUCCCCAGAUACCGUCCUGCAAUCCAGAUACUUAGCUGUGAAGUUUCAAGCCAGCGAAACCAUUUUAAAAGUACACAUGGACACAGAUACCAUUAUCUGAAUCAUCUUCGAUAACAAAUUAAAAUGCCCUAGCGUUCAAAAAACUUAGGAUCUCUUUAAGUGAAGUUCCUUUAAAAAAGUAGAAAAAAACUGAACAACAAUGUCAUGCUAAUAAAAGGUAAAAAAAAUAAAAUAAAAUAAAGCAUAAGGACAGAAGUUCACCAGGAGCAUGCCAGUAUAAACCAAAACGACCACAAAUCUCAACCAUAAAAUUUAAAGUAGUAAAGUAAAUAAUCAAGGGCAUGCAGUUGGCACAGGUGCUUCCAAAUAAAAUGAUGAUUCUUUUCAAACAGAAAAAAGAAAUGGAUGUUAAUAAACUAGAAGAAACCAUGUCUUACAAGUAAUUGAUAAUAUUCUGCUUCCCGUAGAAGCUCUAAAAACUCUGACUCUGUUAAUGUGGGGACAGCCCCAUCCCUUAACCAAUUCAGAAUAUGCCGAAAAUGUUUUCCGUCCCUAUCAACAAAGAUAUAGCCCUGCAAUAAUUCAAUAUGCUCAAAGAUAAGAAUCUGAAUAAUAUACCCAAGAGAAGUGCUUUUCCCUGGAAUAAUAAAAAGAAAAUAAGUCAAAACGUUUUUCUUAAUGGAAGAACACAAAGGAACAGCUCUAUGACUAACAUGAAAACCAUAAAUCAGAAUAAGAACCCAAAACUGGUCAUUUGGAGUUUCACCAGAUCAAAAAGAUCACAUGGAAAUAAAAUUGUGAAAAUGGGAUUAUUUAUGCCGAGGUCAUGGCUAAACUGCAAUCAUUACUCCAUUUUUGGUAGAAGGAGAAGAAGAAAGAAGAGUAGGUGAGUCAUCAUUCUUUCAGGUGAGUCAUCAUUCUUUCUCUGUGAUUAAUUGAUAUGAUGGAAGUGUUGUAGAUAUUAAUUUGAUAGUGAUUCCUCCCUUCAAAAGAAUUCAUUCCUUUUUUUAUUAUUUCACAAAGUUUAACUAAGACUGAGUUUUCUCAAUUUGAAGGCAUCGUGCACUCUACCCCUUUCUUUUCCUCACAUUGCUUCUUCCCAAUCCCAAAGGGAAGAAAUCAAGAAACAAUUACAAUUUUUAACUAUUCACCAGCAAAAACAAGGCAAAGAAAGAUGCUGAGUGUAAGCAAAAAUAAGAGAGUUAUACACCUCAGAGUCUUGGCACACAGUAUGGCGACCGCUGAACAUAGCUGCAAGCAUAGAUUCAGGCUCACGACGAGUCAGAGUAUCAAUUGUUGUAUAAAAUUUCUUUCCCCCUGGAUAUUAAUACAUAAAAUAUAAAUUUGUUCACUUAAAAGCAUGAAUUGUGCAAAUUUGUCAAUAAUGUCAUUCUUUCACAAACGUUCACCGAAAUGUAUAACAAUAAGUGCAUCAUAACAUAACUAAACGGCUUAAGAACUGCGCAGAUAUUACAUACAGUAGAGAAACAAGAAAUAGAAAAUGAGAUUUGCCCUUUUUAAACAGAAAGCAAUCAAAGAGUAAACUAAAGAGCUAAUAAUUCACAAAAUUCAGUUGAUUAAACUCAUUUACAAGUAAUUAGCAACAAAAUCCAAGCUAAAUAAAAAUAAUGAAAAUUAGGUUCUUAUAACAUCCGUCAAUUCUAUGAAAGUUUACCACGAUCAGCAACAAAUAGAUAAAUCGCAAUAAAGAAAAACCGACGACAUGUCGGUUGUGUAGUGCAUAAGUAAAGGAAUUUGCAGAUGAUGUAAAGAGAAUGAGGGAUAGUAACUGACCGAUGUUGAGACGAACCAUUGAAGACGAAUCGGAGUCCUUCGCCAUUGUCGAGUGUAAUGACUUGUCGUCUUACUUGCGCUCAUAGGUAUUUAUAUCAUAGCUGACACUGUUCGAAGGACAGCAAGGAUUUGGUGGGCACAAAUGCAUUUUGGAAAUUGGGCUUCGGCCCAAGAAAUCGAAAAUCAGAGGCUUUUUUUUAAAAAAAAUUUAAAAGGAUUAGAAUGUCUAUAAAUUAAUAGGGCUGAGACCAUCUUAAAUCUAUUAAGUAAAAGAGAUAUUAAAUAUUUUAUUAAUUAAUAAUUUAUUAAUUUACAGAAUUAUUUAUAAUUCAAUUAACAUACAUUUAAUAACUAAACAUUCAAUGUACAUAAUUUCUGAUUACAAUUCAAAGCACUAACAAUACUUCAUAAUUUCUUAUUACAAUUCAAGAAUUCAACCUCAUAGCUUUUAGAUGCAAUAAGAAAAAUAAGAAAUAAGAUUCAGUUAUAUUUAAAUUUUAAGAAAAAAACAAUAAAAUCAUAUUUUAUGUAAUUAAAAUAUCAUAGUCAACUACAUUUGUAAUUUCAACAAAUUAUUACUCUAUGAUUUAAAUGAGACCACAAAGUUAUAUAAGAUUUUAUCGAAAUUAUUAAUUUAAUCCAUUAGUCCAUGUCAAGACCUUGAAAAUUUAAUAAUUAUAUAAUAGAGAUUAUUAAUUUAUCGAGUAUUAAUUUAUAGAAGUUCUGAUUGUAUAUUAUUUUAUAUUAAUAAAGAAUAAAGUAGCAUUCUUUUUUAAUUCCGAAGUAAUAAAAUUAUGGCUAAAUUAAGAGAGUAGAUAUAUUUUAUAACUUGGUUUAAUAACAUCACGCGCCUCCCUUGUAGUUUUGCAGCUUUGAAGCUUUAUAAUGAAUCCUAUUAGCUUUGGCUGGAAAGUUAUAUUGUUAAAGAGAGUUUAUAUAUUAAACAAGGUGAUCUAAUAUUUCCAAAACUAAAUUUGGGAUCAAAAAUAGAAAACAUUUGCAUGUUUUUACCUUUUGGAAGAAUUACUUGAUAAGUGCUUCACAGAAAAAUGCUUGCUAUUAUAGAGCACCCUAAAAAAAAUCCUUAAUAAUUGAGGGAUCAUAAUAAAGUUCAAUUCUAAAUCUGUCAGAUAGAUCGAAAGUAACAAACCAUAUAUAUUUAAAUCUAUUUAGUAAUCCAGGGUUACAAGCCAAGCGUGCAAUAGCCAAUUCUGAAAAUCAAAGCUCAGCCUAUGCUCUCUGAGCACAAAUAAGAUCUGAUAUAUACAUAUCGAAUCCUCCAUUAUGUGGAGUGAAAUUUCCAUCGUGUACGGUGUACCUAACAAUGAGAAAGCAUGGCAGCAUAAAUUCAUCUUCCAUGUUAUUCUACUUAUUAGUACUGGUUCCCUCAUAACUUCUCCAAAUCGGGGAGGUCUGCAAUGUGUAAAGCACGUAAUCAGAUAAAAGAAAGAGAGCCAAAAAAAAAAAAAAAGGUAACAGCCAAAAGAUUAAAUUUCUUUGAGAAAUAGAAAAUGGGAGCUUUUGGCAUAGGCACAGAAUAGAAAGUAACAGAGUCAUUUACAGUUGUUCAGAAUAUGCAAGCUGAAAACAACUUUGAAUGCAAUGGACAAUUCCUCCAACAAACAAUCGAAUUGGAUUGUGGAAGAGACAAAAGCUUAAUGAGGUUAUGGUUUUGGCUAGGUGAACUCAAAAUUCUUUUAUAGACCAAGUAGGUAAAAACAAAUCCCAUAUAGAUGGAUGAACCUCAUACCAUGAACAGUUAAUCGCGAACACUUGCAGGCUUAUGCACACGACUAUGAAGAUACUAAGGGUUUCACCGAUGGUAAGUGAAAAAUAUAUGAUGUAUAAUUUAAAUGGAAGCACAUAGUUUCGGAUUGAAUUCAAGGUUAAAGUUCCACAGACAGACAGAAGAGAUGAAGCUUAAAAACUUACAGAGCAUUCCUUCAUCAUCACUGCUUUCAUCAUUUUGGCCAACAUGCUGAAAAAAGAAUAUGAUUCAAGUUAAAUGAUUGAGCAACAAUAAAAAACGUGCAAAAUUAAUGCUCUCUCCACAAAAAUUUCAGUCUAUAUUGGUAAGAAGAAACAGGAAGAAAAAAUUACCUCAGCAUCAUCGUCAUUGGAAGCCAAAUCAGCUGUAAAGACCACAAAAUGUUUGGUUAGAACCAGUGGAAGUCUUACUCUAAAAUUUUUAAUUUUUGAAUUUCGAAAGAUCUCGUAAUGACAAAGAUUUUCAUAUCCAGUGACCAAGUUUUGAAAAUUAGAAUACGGAAUGACAUCAACUAAAUUCACUAAUAUAAGCUAGAGGAAUCCCUAGUAGAUAUAGCGCACAUGCACACAUGAUAUGCAUCCGAAUACACAAUAAUAAAUUAUCUCAAAGUCAAUAAGAAGCCAAAAUUAGAGAUAAACUUUUAGCCACUAUAAGGAAGACUGAUAUUUGCAGUGUGAUUACAAUAAACAAACAGAAACUUCACUACCCAUAAGUAAAGCAAAAUAAAUAAAGGAUAAUAACUAACCAAGAAAUGGAAAAGCUCACAUUCUCUGAACACGCACCCCAAAAAGAAAGAAAGAAAUAAAUGUUCUCAUUGGAUCUGAAGCACAAGCAAUCCACUGACAUCCUUCUAUAAUUAGGUAAUUUAAAGGGGUUAAGCUCACAUCUUUUACGGAAGUAAGAAGAGAAUUAACAACCUUCCAGAGGAUUUAGGGAAAUACCACGAGGCAAGAAAAAAGAAAUAUCCUUCUUCAAUCUAGAUAUCCUGAUACUGCUCACCAUCUACAACAGUCUGUGGCUUAAAAAGCAGGUCACUGAUCUCUCCCUCCCUCUGGCACCAUUUUCUCUCAUGUCUCAUUUUUCCCUUCCUGCCAACUCCCACUACAGUAUUGAAACCUAUUCUAUCAACUCUUCCCCCUCCAAUAACAAGACCAAAACCAAUUUUACUCGCCGGUUAGCUAGGUAGUAAAUGGAAAUUUGUGAAUCUGUCAUUCAUCCGUAGAAACAAACCAGAACUGCAUAAAUUCUCUUCUCUCCCAACAGCUUCUUUUCUCCAGAAAUAGGCACAAGUAUUUGACAUGGAAACAGUUUAUCUAACAUGGCCACCUUUAAAGACAAAGACAUACUAAGGACGUGGUUUUAGAUACGGAUACAAGAAACAAUCACAAAAUGUAAAAUCUAUACAUAUGAUAUUAAUUUCCAAUGGAUACAGCAAUUCAUUCUUUGACAUAACUUCAUCAGAUUACUAGGUUUGAUUAGGUUAUACACACAUUUAUUCAUUUAUUGAAUCUACAUGCACUUAGAAUGAGAGGUACCUAUAAAAACAAGUUACCAGAAAACAAUACAGCUAGAAAACAUUAAUCUAAGUAGUUCUAUAGGUUUAACUAACUGCAGGAAAAAACCAUUGAUUUUGUCCGCCAGAUUAUCGAGAUCCUAAUUCUGGUAAAAAGAAAAUGAGAUAAUAGAAAAUCAAAAAUUAAAUAGACACAAAAUGAGAAAUCAAGAUCAUAUGGCAACUAAUAUAUAGCAUGGGCUGCAGCUAACAAGCAAUAUAAGCCAUGAUAUUAUGCCAGAUACAAAUUUUGAGAUCCAAGAGAGAUCAAGAAGCAUGAAUACCACUAAAAUAUCGAAAGAAGUGAGUGCAGAAGGAUAAGAAAUCAGGUUGAUAUUCUUCAUACUUUGGAUCAACACGUAGUGAUGCAAUAAACUUGUAAUUAGCUUCAAAUGUAUAGGCUACCAUGUCAACAUUUCCGAAAACACACAAGAUUGUGCUGGAUUCAUACAUAGUACAUAUAUAAAAAAACAAUCUGCUUCUAAACUUCAUGAGAACAUCGAAUAAUGAACUUACAAUUUGAUCCCUCAUCAUCUUCAUCGCACCAUUUGUUCCAAUCAACCUUAAUGUAAGGUGCUGGUUUCUCUUCUGACUUGAGUAGCCUUUUCCACCAACCUUUCUCUUCUUUUUGGACCGAGCAUAUUAUGUUCCUUAAGCCAACUUUAGUCUUACAUUUCUGCACCACCAGCAACAAAACUCAAAGCAUUACAAAAGAGGUAUAUUUAGCCGCUCUUGACUCGAGUGAGAGAACAGGAUAAAUAGCCUAGGUAUAUCCACAUCCAUGUUAUGAGAUUGAUUAUGCAACAGCUAACUUUAAUAUAAAGCUUUUGCUUCAACAAAGACUAAAAUGUUUGUAAUUGUUAUGCUUUUGGAGCUAAAAUGUUUGGCAAACACCCACUUUUACUCUGCACCUAAUAUCUACCACCCACCCACACACUAAGUCUCUCGUUUGGUACAGCUAUUUAUCAGUAGUGGCUUUAAGCCACAACAUUUAAAGCGAAUUUACCCUAAAAUUUUACAAUGAAAAACCUAUACUACCUUUAACAUUGUUGUCAAAAUUAUUAUUAUAAGUAAUAUUUACCAAACACUAUCAACUUCCAAUUCAUAUCAAAGAGCUUUCACUCCACAAUAGCCGUGUCUUCUUAAGCCAGAACAACACAAUACCAAAGGCCUUAAGCUAGUGAUUUGAUUUCACAACAACUGCAGAUCAAGCCUCAAUCCCAAACAUACAUAAAUCAAAUGCAGAAAGCAAAAAUUUAACAAUAUGUUUGGUAUACUAAAUGUCUUUCAUAGUUUCAUUUCACAGGGUAUUUAGACAUGCAAUGAUAAAUUGGAGCAAUUUCAAGAACCGAAUUGACCUCAGGUAAAAUUUUGCCAAAAAGUUCCAAGCUGAAGUCGUAAAGCUCGCCUUGGACUCCGACGGCCGAGAAGCCAAAAAUCCCCUGAGGCUCGCAUUUCACAGAAAUGUCUUUCGCAUCGGGUAAUGAAAUGGUAAGGUAUACUUUAUCGGAGCGCUGAGCCCAAAGAACCUCCGGAUGGCGACUGAACAUAAAAGAAAUAAUAAUAAUAAUAAUAUUAUUAUUUUUUAUUGUGACAAUUUUGAACUAAUAAUUAGAGACAUUUAACAACAAUAUUGAUUAAUAUUGGAGAAGAAAAAUAAGGUUACAAGAGAGAAUCAGAAAGAUUACCUCAUUCUGGUGGAUGAUUGAAAACGGUGGGUCGAUUGAUGAACAGAAGUGUAACUGUCUGGGAGUGAGAGUGACUCUGCUGUUUACUGGGUAGAGUGUGCUUACUCGAAGAAAUUGAAAGUGAUAAUCUCGGGCAAGCCAACACGUCGAUUUGGUCAACAGUGGUCCAACAAACCAGGAACUAGGUUUUUUUUUUUAAAUGAUUUUUUUUUUCAGUAUUAUAUUGCCCCGCCCGUGGGCUAUUACAUUUUGGCCCUUUUGGGGACCCCUCGUUCUCUUACAAGAAGGGAAUAUUCUUUUCCAUCCACCGGUUUGUAGGCAGAGUACAUAUACUCUUCGAAAUUAAGGACAAAUUUCUGAAUCGUGCCGCAUUAGAAUUAAAUUGAGUCUCAAAAGAAUUUUGGUUAUAAGUAUAUCGUUCAAACGGUAAUAUAUUAAAAAAAAUAAUAUUUACUACAAUGUAGACCUAUCGGGACUUUGAAGCCCAGACCAAUUCUUGAGUCUAGCCUAAUAACACCUCAACAGAUCAAAAUUGAAAUCCAACUUAAAUUUCAAUAUUGUGUAGGGAUCUGCCUUAAUUUAGAUAUGUCAAGACCUGCCUUAGGCAUCAAAGUGAUCUAUCUUAACAUAACUAAGACUUUCUUUAAACAUCACAAUGAUUUAUCUUAACGUAGUCAAAUCUAGCCUAAAAAAAUCUAAAGAAGGAAAAAAGAAAUUAUUUUCACGUAUUGAGAGACUUAAAUUCUUAACCUUAUUCAUAAGAAAAAAAAGUGUAUUACUUAACUAAAUCGUGACUAAAAAUUAUAAUUAUUAUUUUUUGUACAUUUAGCUUUAAAAAAUCAUUAUAUAUAUAUAUUCAUAUAAGUUUUGACAUAAUAUACAUACCACUUAUUUGUUUUUUAAAUUAUACGAGAAUGAAAAAACUCAAGCAUUAAACACCAACUUUUGUUUCAUGCUAUCAAUCAACUUGAGAAAUUUUAUAAUAUAUCGGAAGUUCUACGUCACAAUUUAAUACGAAGCCUUCGAUUAAUAAUAAUUAGACACAUGACAAUAGAUGCUAGAGAAAUUUUAAAUUCCCUCUUUUCAUUAUCCCUCCAAAUUUAGAAUUUCAAAAAAUUAGAGAAUAAAUGUUGCUUGCUCUCUUUGUUAUCUAAUUCUAAUUAUUAUUUUUUUCUCUCUCUCUCCAAUCAAGUUGCUAGCAUUUUUUAAAUCUAUUGAAGAAUAAGAAGAAGGUUUUUGUCGAUGAAAUGAUUUUGGCAGCCUUUUUUACCCAAAGCUAACAUGAUUGCUGCGACUACCAAUGAAGAAAAAGAUGUGUUUUGCUGGCGAAGAAGAUGAUUUUUGAAGCAUGAGUGGCUGCCGUUUAUUUUUUUCCUUCAUAUUUUUCGAUGUAGUGGCUGUCCUCAAGUUUUAUUCAUUUACUUUUCAGUUGGCCUACUAUUUAUUGGCAUAAUGAAAAAUUUUAUUUUAAUAAGCAUUUAUAGAUUAAUUUGAGGAGGUUUCUUUUGC
rnacentral:lncRNA from 1 species